ensembl:lncRNA
GCCCUGAGGGGCCCCCGGGGGCCCCCAAGAAGUUCGCGCGCCCCCGACACGCCCGCCGCCCCCGGUCCCCACUUACUUGUCGCGGUGGCCGCCGAGCUCCGGGGCGGCGCCGAGCGGCUGCGGGCCGGGGCCGGGGUCGGGGCGGUGGGCGCACGCGGCCAGGUGUCGCCGGUGCCGCUCCAGCAGGCCGGCGUUCUCGCGGCUCAGCCGCGCCACUUGGCGCUCCAGCUCCUCGAUGCGCCGCCGCCGGCGCGCCAGCAGCUCUUGCUGCGCCGCGACGAUCCGGGUCAGCUCCUGCAGGGGACAACAAAGGAGGUCUGUGUGUGGACGCCGCGGCAGCUGACAAGACCCCGCCCCAGGACGGGGCUCUCACCCGCCACCCACCAGACACGUCGGCAUCUGACAGCUCAGCAGUGUUCCUCUUUGGAUACUGCCCCGUGCCCACGGACUCGACCGCAUCCAAAGCUACGCCCCUGCUUCCCUGAGGCUGUGACUGGUCCACGCAGGGGCUCAAGAGCCCAGCGCCUUUGUCCAAACUCGGCCAGCUCUGCAGGGUGGUCCCAGCUCCAGAGCCGCUGAUGGGACUCGCGGAGGCCUCUGCUGGGACAGGCCCGUCGGCCGGCCCUCCUGCUGCCUGGGCCUGGUGCUGGUCCUGAGAGCUCGGCCAGCAAGCCUCCUGCACCAGCCUCACAUCCCCACCUCUCCCGACCCUGUGUCACCCACAUGAACAUCCCCUUGCUUUGUGUGGGGAGAUUCUAAACCUGAAAAGCCAGUGAUAGGCUUUUCCAGGGUUAUCAUUACCUGAAUACAAGGCCAAGGGGCAGAAAAAAAAAACAAAACAUAUUACUAUUAGCUGUAAAGAAAAGAGAGGUAACAGAAGUUUGGAGGAGAGAGGGGAAGGAGAGGCAUGUUAUAAUCAUCUAUUAGCUUUUACUGUCAUUAUCCACAUUCAGCUUCUCAGUGAGACCAUCUAUCUUUUAAAUAUCACCCUUUGUUGCAGAAUCCUCAUUUUUCUCCGUAAAAACCCUCCUGAGAGCUCUCUGACUCACCGUUACAACUUGGCCUGGUGCCUCCUUGGCCUGCUAUGUGGCUAUCGUCGGCGAUUUCUUGGCACUUCCCUCCUGGAUUGGGUCCAUGCUUUCUUGGAUUUUAUGAAUUCUCUUUCUUGGAUUAAUUUUGUAUUUUGCUGUGAACGUCCUCUAGCAAUUCUCCCAG